CCUACGGGAGGCUGCAGUGGGGAAUAUUGGACAAUGGGCGAAAGCCUGAUCCAGCCAUGCCGCGUGUGUGAAGAAGGCCUUCGGGUUGUAAAGCACUUUCAGUGGGGAAGAAAGCCUUGGGGCUAAUACCCUCGAGGAAGGACAUCACCCACAGAAGAAGCACCGGCUAACUCCGUGCCAGCAGCCGCGGUAAUACGGAGGGGUGCGAGCGUUAAUCGGAAUUACUGGGCGUAAAGCGCGCGUAGGCGGUCUGAUAAGCCGGUUGUGAAAGCCCCGGGCUCAACCUGGGAACGGCAUCCGGAACUGUCAGGCUAGAGUGCAGGAGAGGAAGGUAGAAUUCCCGGUGUAGCGGUGAAAUGCGUAGAGAUCGGGAGGAAUACCAGUGGCGAAGGCGGCCUUCUGGACUGACACUGACGCUGAGGUGCGAAAGCGUGGGUAGCAAACAGGAUUAGAUACCCGAGUAGUC
rnacentral:rRNA from 1 species